rnacentral:tRNA from 1 species
GGCGAUAUAGCUCAGUAGUAGAGCUCUUGGCUAACAUGCUUGAGGUCUUGGGUUCAAUCUCUAGUACUGCCA